rnacentral:rRNA from 1 species
AUGGCUGCGUCGCCGGAGAUGCUGCGGAGGCGUUGGUGGGCGGCGGCGGCGGUCUUGUCGGUGGUGCUGGCCGUGAGCCGGGUCUCCGCCAACACAGAGGGUGAUGCUCUGUACAGUCUGCGUCAAAGCCUUAAAGAUGCUAACAAUGUGCUGCAGAGUUGGGAUCCCACUCUGGUUAAUCCAUGCACAUGGUUCCAUGUUACUUGUAACACUGACAACAGUGUAAUCAGAGUUGAUCUUGGAAACGCACAACUGUCAGGUGCAUUGGUGUCCCAACUUGGACAGUUGAAAAAUCUACAAUAUUUGGAGCUGUACAGCAACAAUAUAAGUGGGACAAUACCUUUGGAACUCGGGAACUUGACAAACCUGGUCAGUUUGGAUCUGUACCUGAACAAAUUCACUGGCGGUAUUCCAGACACAUUGGGGCAACUCUUAAAGUUGCGAUUCCUCCGUCUUAACAACAACAGUCUUUCUGGUCAAAUUCCACAAUCCUUGACCAAUAUUAGCACCCUCCAAGUUCUGGAUCUAUCAAACAACAAUCUCUCUGGAGCGGUUCCAUCAACUGGCUCGUUUUCACUCUUUACCCCUAUAAGUUUUGGUAAUAAUCCAAAUCUUUGUGGCCCGGGUACUACGAAACCAUGUCCUGGGGCACCUCCUUUUUCUCCACCUCCACCAUUCAAUCCUCCAACACCACCCGCGGCACAAGGUGACCCUAAAACCGGAGCAAUUGCUGGAGGUGUUGCUGCGGGUGCUGCAUUGAUAUUUGCUGUUCCUGCAAUUGGAUUUGCACUGUGGCGGCGACGUAAACCUGAAGAGCAUUUCUUUGAUGUCCCUGCUGAGGAGGAUCCAGAAGUGCACCUUGGCCAGCUGAAGAGGUUCUCACUAAGGGAGCUUCAAGUUGCUAGCGAUAACUUCAGCAAUAAGAACAUUCUAGGAAGAGGUGGCUUUGGAAAGGUGUACAAGGGGAGACUGACGGAUGGUACAUUGGUAGCAGUUAAAAGAUUAAAAGAAGAACGUACUCCUGGUGGCGAACUCCAAUUCCAAACAGAAGUCGAAAUGAUUAGUAUGGCAGUGCAUAGGAACCUGCUUCGACUCCGUGGAUUCUGCAUGACACCUACAGAACGGCUACUAGUCUAUCCAUACAUGGCUAACGGUAGCGUUGCAUCACGUUUGCGAGAGCGAGGGCCAAAUGAGCCGGCUCUUGAAUGGGAAAAAAGAACUCGGAUUGCACUGGGAUCUGCCAGAGGACUGUCUUACUUGCAUGAUCACUGUGAUCCCAAGAUCAUUCAUCGUGAUGUCAAAGCCGCAAACAUUCUCUUGGAUGAAGACUUUGAGGCGGUUGUGGGUGACUUUGGACUGGCCAAGCUUAUGGACUACAAGGACACUCAUGUAACCACAGCCGUCCGUGGAACGAUCGGGCAUAUUGCUCCCGAGUACCUAUCCACCGGAAAGUCCUCCGAGAAGACGGAUGUUUUCGGUUACGGCAUCAUGCUUCUGGAGCUUAUCACUGGGCAGAGGGCAUUCGACCUCGCACGUCUUGCAAACGACGACGAUGUCAUGCUGCUUGACUGGGUGAAAGGGCUGCUGAAAGAGAAGAAGGUGGAGAUGCUGGUGGACCCGGACCUGCAGAGCGUGUACGUGGAGCACGAGGUGGAGGCGCUGAUCCAGGUGGCGCUGCUGUGCACGCAGGGGUCGCCGAUGGACCGGCCCAAGAUGUCGGAGGUGGUGAGGAUGCUGGAGGGCGACGGGCUGGCGGAGCGCUGGGAGGAGUGGCAGAAGGUGGAGGUGGUCCGGCAGGAGGCGGAGCUGGCCCCGCGAAACAACGACUGGAUCGUCGACUCCACCUACAACCUCCGGGCGGUGGAGCUCUCCGGCCCGAGGUAA